CAGAUCAGAGUCCAAGUUUUCCUCCCGAUGCGUAUACGUAGAGCCCCAAAGAGAGAAAGAGACAGAGUGAGGGAGACCCACACGGCCACUAGAGUCAGAGCACCAUUGACAUAAGCGCGCUCCGUCGUCCCAAGCCGUCCCAAAGUUCCCAAGACGACGGAUUUGGCAAACGAAAAUAAAUGUUCUCCCACAACGGAAGUCAUAUCAAGCCUUAAAGGAAAUACAUAGAAUCACUGUGAUUUAGUUUCAGCUACAAGCACAGCGAUUGCAAAGAGCCACAUUUCUUAUUAAGGCUGAGAAAAGGCUAAUCCAGCCACAUUAACCGUAUAGAGUUCUCAAACUUGGAUGUAUUCUAAGUGAAACUUCUUGUUCUACGGAAAGUUUGCUCCAUAGCUUGAGGGGAGUUUUCAGUGUUUCACUUGCACGCGACCGACCCCAAGGCCUUGAUCGCAAGACACGAAGGAGGGCCUGCUGCUCGACUGAACUCCCAUGCUAUGGGCAACUUCACGCAAGAAAUGACAUGGCCUGUCACGGCCUCCAGAGACAUCCCCAUAACUAUAAGCCUAACCUCGUUCGCCCUCGCUCCCUGGUUUGUGCCUCUUUGGAACGUCUUAGUGUCUUUGCCUUGAAAGGUUUUGGAAGCUCGCGUGGUUGAUGGCUUGUUCAGCGAAUGAUCUAGCUCCCUUCUCAACUGCGUGCGCUAGAGAUGAAGACGCCAAAGCCCCUAUUUACACACGCCAUGGUAGUUCCCCUUAUCCCUUGAAAGCGCGGAGCAGAUUGGAGAAGAAGCUGUUGGCCACGGAACGACCCGAAAUGACUCCACAUUCUGGCAUUCCUUUAUUCGUGGAUCGGAGAAAAUAAGCGAGGUUUCUUGAGUGUUUUUCUUUAAUGGCGGGUUUGCCCGAUGUUCAUCUGGGCAUUGGGGGUUGCGAGAUUUUGUUCCAGAGGCUCGAAAGCUUCCGAACCACCUGCUUCACACAAAGUGAUCAGCCAGCGAGAAAUGAAAGGACACCUUCAUUGCAUCCUUGUUUUACUGUUUUCCGCUUAACUGGAUACGUCAUGGCAUCUCCAGUUUGGCACCCUUUUUAAAGUGGCACUGGCAUUGAUUGUCAUGGUCAUAUUCCUAAUUGGCAGCCUUUGGGCGAAUCGGACAAUGGACUGGAAAAAACCAUGAGCAGUCCCUGGUCUCUCGAGUCCCCCGAGUCUCCAAUGGCACUUGUGUUCAAAUCGAAUCGGACCCAAAUUUCCCCUAAUUUGCAUAACGAUCAUUUCACUUGAAUAUUUUGUCCCUUUCCGCGAGGACAACAAUGCCAAUGUUUACGACUUUAUGACCAGAUGCGCUCCCACUACAAUACACACAUGAACACUGGAUACAAAGCGAUCCUCAAUUCUAACCAACCAACCAACCAACUAGCCAUGGUUCUCGGGUUUAUGAGGCGUUUCCAGAGGCAAAUUACCUUCAAAGUUGGAAUUAUUAUUCACCCCUUCGAAUCUGACGUAGCUCAUCUGGGCACACGUAGAUCCUGAGGGACAUUUCGAAAUUCAAUAUUGACGUCUCAUCGCUGGAUGGACCUGACAAUGUGCGGAGAUUGACUGAAACUCGGCACCAGUUAUUAUUUACGAUCUAGUUCCAUUCAUAAAUAUGAAGUUAUGUGCCUUGCUAGACACGACUCGUGGAUGAACUGUGUAGUAUAUUGUGCACCACAUCCAUAUUAAGUUCACUGACUGUCUGGAACUCGGUCCCCCACACUUCAAUGACAAAGGCUAUUGAGGCGUCAUCAAUACAUUGAAAAGGAAUUUCGCCCAUCAAACAACGGCUCAACAUUCGCUCGUCCAAAUCGUCGGGCUCGUCUCUAAGCUAAAUCAAAGUACUGGCAUUGGCAACUAAGUAAAUAAACAUCUGGAUGAUGACCUUGAGCUCUUCUCAUA